UACGAAGGGGGCUAGCGUUGCUCGGAAUCACUGGGCGUAAAGCGCACGUAGGCGGUUUGUUAAGUCAGGGGUGAAAUCCUGGAGCUCAACUCCAGAACUGCCUUUGAUACUGGCGAUCUCGAGUCCGGGAGAGGUGAGUGGAACUGCGAGUGUAGAGGUGAAAUUCGUAGAUAUCGGGAGGAACACCGGUGGCGAAGGCGGCAUCCUGGACCAACACUGACACUGAGGAGCGAAAGCCAGGGGAGCAAACGGG
rnacentral:rRNA from 1 species